rnacentral:rRNA from 1 species
GGUGGUCCGAGUUGUAAUUUGCAGAGGGUGCCUUGGCGAGGCGCCGGCCGAGUGCCUGGAACGGGACGCCACAGAGGGUGAGAGCCCCGUACGGCCGCGCGUCGAGCCUCUGUAAGGCCCCUUCGAAGAGUCGAGUAGUUUGGGAAUGCUGCUCUAAGCGGGAGGUAAACUCCUUCUAAAGCUAAAUACCUGCCAGAGACCGAUAGCGCACAAGUAGAGUGAUCGAAAGAUGAAAAGCACUUUGAAAAGAGAGUCAAACAGCACGUGAAAUUGUUGAAAGGGAAGCGCUUGCGGCCAGACUUGCACCCAGCGGCUCACCGCCCCCCGCGGGCGGUGCACUCCGCUGGGCGCAGCCAGCAUCGGUUCGAGCCGGGGACAAAGCCGCGGGGACGUGGCUUCUCGGAGUGGUAUACCCACCGCUACGCCCGGGCGCGGACCGAAGUCCGNGCCAAGGAUCUGCCUAAUGGCCCCCAAAGAACCCUUUUGAACCCGGACCAAGGAUUCGUCUUACAUCNAAUGUUCGGUGAAAAAGCCCUUCCCGCAAUGAAAGUGACCGGAGUAAAACUUUGGCGCAUCAUCGACCGAUCUGAUUCCUCGGAUGGAUUGAAUAGGACAUGCUUGGCCGGACCCCAAAAAAAGUGACUAUCUUGGAUNGGCAAAGCCCNAGGAAACUUUGUGGAGGUUCCCAACGGUUUUUACUCAAAAUUGAUGGCAAAAUUUA